rnacentral:lncRNA from 1 species
GCACAGGAGCCUAUUCCAAAUCCAACCAAUCUUACAAUCCAUUGGAGUAGUGUGAUUUCAUCAGAUUUUUUAUGGGAUUUCAUCAACAAUCAGAUUGGUAUAGCCUACGAUUUCAUCCAGUAGGAGAAUAAUGAAAGCCGGCAGUGAAUUGGUUCAAUCUAAUUCGACGACGGCGAUGGCGGUGGCCUCGAAAUCGAUGACUAUUACGUUUCGUUGAAUUAAAGGGUUUUUUUCAUCGAUCGAGAUGUCUUGCUUAUGUAUUCAUCAUAGUUAUUGAUGGAGCUUCGAACAUCAUCCACCGAAAAGAGGUGGGACAAAAUGCAAGUCCAUUAAAAUCGGGUCAAGCUGAGGUGCUAUCAAAUUGCAUAAAACUACAACGGUUGAAAUAGAAAAAGUUUCAAUUUUGUUAGGAUUUACUUACAGGUCGUUGACAUGGUUUGUGCAGGGCAGGUUGCCAAAAAGCAUUUGUCUUUGAACUAAAUGUUUACACAUAAGCUCUUACUUCCAAUUAUGUUAAAUAAAUUGUAUAUGUUCUAAGUUUUGAGUGAUGUUUAGGUCCUUUUGUAUUACGAUAAUACAAGGAAUUUGAUACAUUUGUAUGUUCUAACAACAUUGUGGAUCUCACAUGCUUAGGAAAAGAAAGGAUGUUGCCAUUUGUUGAUCUCAUAUGCUUCGGUGGAACUGAGGAAGCACCGGCUGAAUAACACUAAAAGUGAUGGUUAUCGAGAUCAGGUUGGUUAUUUAGAUCUUUUCUUUUUUUGUUUUAUUUUUUACAAAUGAGCAUGUAGAUUCUUGGCAUAGAAAUAAGUAACAUUUUGUGCCUGUUGUUUUUUUUUUCUUCUUUUGGGCUACUAUCUCAAAUACACAGGUGCAUGCUACAUGAUUUUGCAGGAAAUGUUGAGAUAUAUGGUGUUUUAGAUUUUGUAGGAUCGGGACCUAUUGAAGCCCGUGUUACCAAGAACUCAACAAAGGCGGUUUUUGCUUAAGAAUGUGUGGAGAGGCAAAACUUGGAAGGUUGCUUGCAAUAAUUAGUCCAUCUGGUGGAUCAGGGAAGACAACUCUCCCCAGUCACAAGUGCAGGAUCCGUUGUUAGGUGAUAACAAGAAAGAAGACAUUCCAGAUCCAUUGUUAGGUGACAAUGAUGAUCAACAUUAAGAUGAAGGUGUUCAGAAGCCUCAGAAGACAACAAAGUAUAUGACUAAAUAUGAAAGGGCUACAAUUAGGCAUAAUUAGUUUUCAUAUUUUGUUGAAAGUAAUAUUUGACUUUUGAGAAUGAAAUUGAUUUCUUCUUUAUUUUUGUUUCAGCAUCAAUGCUCCAGUGAUGGUUGAAGUGAGUGAAACUGAUCCCAUUGAGUUAUCUUUCACAGUUAAAUAAGUACGGGUACGUGUCGUCAAUAAGUUAUCUUUACCUUUUAAAUCUGAAGGUAGCAUCCAUAUCAUCUAAUAAUUUGGUGGGAAUUCAAGCAUUAUGGAUAAUGUUGUGAACGCAAGGUAAUAAGCCUCUAUAUAUAGGAUGUCUGGUCGUGUGUUUUGAAAGUAAUUAUGUGAUAUUACAUAUCAUUUGCUAGUGUUAUGUAGAAGGUAUACAUCUCUGUUUAUGUAAAUCAAGGUGAUAGAGAUGGGAAAAUCGCAACCAUAAGGUAUACUAAUUUGUUGUGAUUUCACACUUCCCCAUGAAUUAUACAUCGCCAGUACUACUCACUAAUCAAACUUCAUUCAUAAUGUAUUAUUAUUCUUUUUUAUGUGGGUAGCAUGUAUCUUGUAAUAUAUUUCUUAUUUGGAGGAUUUGUCAAGCAUAGGCAGGUUUGAUUGUCUAAUUUUUAAUCAUAUUUUGUAUACUAAUUAUUCAACCUUAUUAAUUGAUUUCUAUUUGAACAAGAAAAUGGAUUUCUUGAUGAAGUGUUUAAAUUCACACCUAAGAAAAAGCUUCUAUAAAGCGCUGAUCAUGUUUCAGGGAUGGUCAAGGAUAGAAACGUCGGGCACUAUGCAUCCAGGAUAGGCGAGGAUUAAAGGACGCAACAUCAAAAUAUGCUGGUGUGGGUUAAUGAGUCCUCAACCAAGAUGAUUGCUAAAAGGAUUACCAUGUUUAGUUAGAAAUUCAUUUAUGCAAUUACAAUGAAAACUUUAGAUCAUUGCAUCUUACUUGCGUUGUUUGCCUAUUAUCUAAUAAGUUCCCGUGUACAAAAUGAUCCCUGUAUGUAAUGUUUUUUAGAAUUAAAAAGUAAUUUAGUCU